UGGGGAAUAUUGCACAAUGGACGGAAGUCUGAUGCAGCGACGCCGCGUGGGGGAUGAAGGCUUUCGGGUUGUAAACUCCUUUCAGUACAGAAGAAGCUUUAUUGUGACGGUAUGUGCAGAAGAAGCGCCGGCUAACUACGUGCCAGCAGCCGCGGUAAUACGUAGGGCGCGAGCGUUGUCCGGAAUUAUUGGGCGUAAAGAGCUCGUAGGCGGUUUGUCGCGUCUGCUGUGAAAGACCGGGGCUUAACUCCGGGGCUGCAGUGGGUACGGGCAGGCUGGAGUGCGGUAGGGGUAACCGGAAUUCCUGGUGUAGCGGUGGAAUGCGCAGAUAUCAGGAGGAACACCGAUGGCGAAGGCAGGUUACUGGGCCGUUACUGACGCUGAGAAGCGAAAGCGUGGGGAGCGAACAGG
rnacentral:rRNA from 1 species